AUUUAAGAAAUCAUUAGAUGAUGAACUGUAAAUUCAUAUAAGAUUACACUUUUAACCUU
rnacentral:tRNA from 1 species